GGUAGUAGUGGAUGCCUUGGCACUUGGAGGCGAUGAAGGACGCGGUUAGGCUGCGAAAAGCCCAGAUGAGGUGCCAAACAACCGUUGACUCUGGGAUUUCCGAAUGGGGCAACCUGGCUGGAAAUUAAAUUCCAGUCGUCAGUCUUUGUUAACAAAGACUGAAGCGAACCUAGGGAAGUGAAACAUCUCAGUACCUAGAGGAAAAGAGACCAAUAGGGAUUCCCUUAGUAGCGGCGAGCGAAAGGGGACGAGCCUAAACCCUAUUCAAUCUCGAUUAGAAUAGGGGGUUGUAGGAAAACCCAAUAAACAAAAUUUAAAUUCUAGUCGAAGGUUCUGGAAUGAACCACCAGAGAGGGUGAUAGUCCCGUAGAUAAAAGAAUUUAAAUUUUGUAGGGUUUUUCCUGAGUACCUCGAUGGAAGAAAUCAUUGAGGGAAGCUAGCAGUAUUACCUGCUAAGGCUAAAUACUUCAAGUGUCCGAUAGAGAACAAGUACCGUGAGGGAAAGGUGAAAAGUAGGUCGGCGAGACCGGUGAAAUAGAACCUGAAACUACUACCAAACAACGAACAGGAGCCUAGUUUUUCUAGGUGACUGUGUGCCUAUUGAAGAAUGAGCUGGCGACUUCAUAAUAUCACCUAGUUUAAGUGCAGUCAAGCACGAAGGCUAAGUGAAAGCGAGGGUUAAAAGCCCGCUCUUAGGUGAUAUUAUGAGACCCGAAGCCGAGCGAUCUUACCAUGGCCAGGGUGAAUCUUGUAGAAAUACAAGAGAAGGCCCGAACCCGUUGGUUAGGCAAAACCAUGGGAUGAGUUGUGGUAAGCAGUGAAAAGCUAAUCGCGCUCGGGAAUAGCUGGUUCUUCCCGAAAUAGCUUUAGGGCUAGCGCAGAGAUAAACUGAAUAGGAGGUAGAGCACUAAUUGGUUAGUUAAGGAUUUAUUCCACCUAAUCAGUUAACCUCCGAAUGCCUAUUCAGGUUCUCUGUAGUUAGUCUAUGGGGGAUAAGCUCCAUAGACAAAAGGGGAACAACCCAGAGCAUCGACUAAGGUCCCUAAAUAUAAGCUAAGUGGAGAAUGAAGUUUCUUAACUAAGACGCCCAGGAUGUUGGCUUAGAAGCAGCCAUCAUUUAAAGAGUGCGUAAUAGCUCACUGGGAGAGUUAAGGAGCGCAGAAAAUUUAAGGGGCUAAGCUUAUUACCGAAGUCAUGCUUUGGUAGUUGUAAAUUUUUUACAAUUACCAAAGGUAGGGAAGCAUUCUUUAUACGUCGAAGAAUAAUCGAAAGGUUAUUUGGAGUAUAAAGAAGAGAGAAUGCCAGCAGGAGUAACCGCAAUCUCGCUGAGAUGGCGAGACGCCGUAAGAACAAGGUUUCCUUGGCAAUGGAAAUCAGCCAAGGGUUAGCCGGGAGCUAAGACAAAGCCGAAAGGCGUAGUCGAUGCAUAGUUGGUUAAUAUUCCAACGCCACCUUAGAUUUUCCGAUGUGGUGACAAAGAAAAUAAGCUCUUGAGUCUUGAUGGCUUGGGCUUUCUUUUAAGUAGAGAAGGAUAACAGUAAAUCUGUUAUCGAGAGGCAACUCACUUCUCGAAUAAAAGAAGAGAUAGUAUUUAGGUACUAUCAAUAAGAGCGAAGAGUCUUUCAAGAAAAGCCUCUAAGGUUAAAUCUAAGGUGCCCGUACCAAAAACCGACACAGGUGUUCGAGGCGAGUAGCCUAAGGCGAACGAGUAAGGUCUCCCCAAGGAACUCGGCAAAAAAGCGGGCGUAACUUCGGGAUAAGCCCUCCCUGUGGUUAUACUUUUGUAUAACUUACAGGGCGCAGCGAAAGUUCCUCGGGCGACUGUUUAUCAAAAACACAGCUCCCUGCUUAACUUGUAAAAGGAUGUAUAGGGGGCGAUGCCUGACCGAUGCCGGAAGGUUAAAAAGUUGAGGUAAUAUUGUAUUUUUUUUAAAAUACAAUAUUGCUUACGACUUUAAGCCCCGGUCAAUGUCGGCGGUAACCCUGACCGUCCAAAGGUAGCGCAAUUCCUUUCCGGGUAAGUUCCGGAGCGCAUGAAAGGCAUAACGACUUGAGGACUGUCUUGGGGAGAUGCUCGGUGAAACUGCGAUCCCCGUGAAGACGCGGGGUAGUGGCUACGGGACGGAAAGACCCCGGGAGCUUUACUGUUGCUACUCAUUGAUAAUUAUUUUUAAAUGCACAGUGUAGUGGGGAGGCUAUGAAGCCUUUUCUCCGGGAAAGGUGGAGCCGCCAAUGAAACACCCACCAUUUAAAAACAAUUAUCUAAUUCAUAUUAAAAAUAUGAAAACAGUGGGUAGUAGACAGUUUUUCUGGGGCAGAACCCUCCGAAAGAGUAUUGGAGGGGCUCAAAGGUUAGUUUGUUCUGGAUGGAAACCAGAGCUUAAGUGUAAGGGCAUAAACUAGCCUAACUGAAAGACCUACAAGUCAAUCAGGGGCGAAAGCCGGACUUAGUGACCCGACGGCUCUUAGUAAGAAGGCCGAAGACAACGGAUAAAAGUUACCCCGGGGAUAACAGGCUGGUGUGGCCCGAGAGUUCAUAUCGACGGCCACGCUCGGCACCUCGAUGUCGGCUCACCCUAGCGCGGGGCUGAAGAAGGUCCCAAGCGUCGGGCUGUUCGCCCGUUAAAAGGGUACGCGAGCUGGGUUCAGACCGUCGUGAGACAGGUCGGUCCAUAUCUGUAGUCACCGUUUAUACCUUGAGGGAAGCUGAUUCUAGUACGAGAGGACCGAAUCGGGGAAGCCAAUGGUGUAUGGGUUGUUUUGCCAAAGGCAUUGCCCAGUAGCCAAGCUUCUGAGGGAUAAGUACUGAAAGCAUCUAAGUACGAAGCCCUUCCCAAGAUUAGGGUAAUGGUUUCCUGGAAGACGACCAGGUCGAUAGGCCACAUCUGUAAGCCAAGUAAUUGGUUAAGGAGAGUGGUACUAAUAAACCUGCUUACU
rnacentral:rRNA from 1 species